rnacentral:lncRNA from 1 species
ACACCUUCUCAUAUUUGUUAAAUAAAUCCAUUCUUAUUGAGACUCUUGAGGUCUAAAGCUAUGUCAAUAAAAAGGGUCACAAACGGACGAGUCGGUUCGGAUAUGAGCGAGUAUAAAACAGAUAAUGCAAAAAAUAGAUAAAUUAUUCGAUCGAACCAUAUGUAAUACGGAUAGAAAAUGGAUUAUCAACGGAUAAUAUGGAUAUCCAUAUCAUCCACGACUUCUUGAUUAGCCUCCCCGGGGAAAAAACCAUAAUAUGUGGAAGUAUUGACGUAAUUAGCCUCCAAAACUUGAGGAACCCCCAAUUUAAAGUAUUUACAAAUAUAAAAGUUGAACUCAUUAGUUAUCCAUCGAUUAUCUAUUUUGUAAGUGAAUAAUCACUCUGUAUAAAGAAAAAGAUAAAACAUCUAUUCAAAUUACACUUUCUCACCUUUGUUAAUUAAAUUACCAAUACUAGAACAAAAGCUAUAAAAUUCCCUCUUAAGUUUUCUCACCUUAUUUCCAUUUCUAAUCUUUUCUCCUUCCUUGUAGCUAUAAAAUCUUCUCAUCUUCAGUACGUCAGUCUCCGACUCCGAUUCCGGCAUCAACGGUGAAGAUCUCUCCGGCAGUGGAAAGCUGAUCAUCAUGUUCCGUUCGAUCAAAUGAACAAGUGAAACUAACUCAAAAGAAUCAUACAAUGGACUCCCACAAUCCCAUACGAUAGAAGAAUUAGAAGCUUGACCAUCAUCUUCUCCUUUUUUAUCUUCUUGUUAUAGCUUGUUAUAUAUGUCCUG